rnacentral:lncRNA from 12 species
UUUUAUGAGGAGAAAAAAGUGAAAUUUUGAGGAAAAAAGGGGAAAUUUGAGCGAGAAUUGAGGAGAAAGGGAAUUCCGGAGAUUUUUUUUUGGGAAAAUUGAGCGGAAAAGGGAAAAAUUGGGGUGAAAAUUGAGGAGAAAGGGAAAUUUUGGGGUGAAAAUUGAUGAGCGGAAAAGGGAAAAAUUGGGGUGAAAAUUGAGGAGAAAGGGAAAUUUUGAGGUGAAAAUUGAGGGAAAAAUUGGGGAGAAAAUUGACGGGGAAAAAAGGAGAAUUUUGGGUGAAAAUUAAGGGAAAAGGGGAAAUUUUGGGGUGAUAAUUGAGAGAAAAGAGAAAAAUUUGGGGUGAAAACUGAGGGAAAAAGGAAAAUUGUGGGUUGAGAACUGAGGGAAAAAUGAGGAAAAAAUUGGGACGAAAAUUGAGAAAAAAAGGGAAAUUUUGGGGUGAAAAUUGAGGAAAAAAAGGGAAAUUUUGGGGUGAAAACUGAAGGAAAAAUUGGGGUUAAAAUUGAGGAAAAAGGGAAAAAUUGGUGUGAAAUUGAGGGGGAAAAAGGAAAAUUUUGGGGGUGAAAAGUGAGGGGAAAAAGCAAAAUUUUGGGGUCAAAUUGAGGGAAAAGGGAAAACUGGGGUGAAAAUUCAGGGGGAAAGGGAAAUUCUGCCGUUUUUACCACUUUAAUCCCAUUUUUGGUCACUUUAAUCCCAUUUUUGACCCAUUUUUCACCCAUUUAAUCCCAUUUUUAGUCACUUUAAUUCCAUUUUUUUGCUCACUUUAAUGCCGUUUUUAUUUCGCUUAAUGUUAAUUUCCGUCACUUUAUUGCCACUUUUGGUCACUUUAAUUCCAUUUUUUUGUCACUUUGAUCCCAUUUUUAACCCCUUUAAUGCCAUUUUUUGCCAUUUUUGACCCAUUCAAUGACAUUUCGAUCACUUUGAUCCCAUUUUUUUUGACCCAUUUAAUUCUAUUUGAUUGAUUUUUUUCGCCCAUUUUUGACCCGUUUAUUGCCAUUUUUAUCCCUUUAAUUUCAUUUUUGGUCACCUUAAUGCCAUUUUUAACCCCUUUUUUACCAUUUCUCACCCGUUUCAUUCCAUUUCUGACCCAUUUCUUGACAUUUUUGACCCAUUUCUUGACGUUUUGGUCACUUUAAUUUCACUUUUGGUCACUUUAAUCCCAUUUUUAACCCAUUUCCCCCCAUUUUCCUGCCCUUUCCCCCCAUUCCCCCCCCCCCCCCCCCCCCCCCCCCCCCCCCCCCCCCCCCCCCCCCCCCCCCCCCCCCCCCCCCCCCCCCCCC